rnacentral:rRNA from 1 species
GAUGAACGCUAGCGGCAGGCCUAAUACAUGCAAGACGAACGGUAAGUUGAGUAGCAAUACUUAGCCAAGAGUGUCGUACGGGUGCGUAACACGUAUGCAACCUACCCUAUACAGGAGGAUAGCCUAGGGAAACCUGGAUUAACCCUUCAUAGUAUUAUUGGAUGGCAUCAUUUGAUAAUUAAAACUGAGGUGGUAUAGGAUGGGCAUGCGUCUGAUUAGUUAGUUGGCGGGGUAAUGGCCCACCAAGACGAUGAUCAGUAGGGGUUCUGAGAGGAAGAUCCCCCACACUGGCACUGAGAUACGGGCCAGACUCCUACGGGAGGCAGCAGUGGGGAAUAUUGGACAAUGGGCGAAAGCCUGAUCCAGCAAUGCCGCGUGAGUGAUGAAGGCCUUAGGGUUGUAAAGCUCUUUUACCCGGGAUGAUAAUGACAGUACCGGGAGAAUAAGCCCCGGCUAACUCCGUGCCAGCAGCCGCGGUAAU